CCCAGCACACCGAAGAGCUAGAGUAUCAAUCGAUGCAGGCGACAACACUACAAUGCUCUUUAUGGCCUGCACCGCCGAUUCGUCACCACCAGCAUGUCCUUCUGCCUUUGCUCGUGUCUUCCGCGCACAUAACCUAGCCCAUGAGUCUGGUCCGCUAGCCGUUGCUUGGAGAAAGGGGUCACAUAUCGGUGGAGACACAAGGCACUUGCCUCACCAUCGCCACUCGGUUGAAGGUGGAUGCAUACCCAUUAGUGGAAUUGAUGCUCCAAAAUUGGAGCUGGAUGCGCCACCGUGCUAUUCUUGAGGACGGUAACCGCAACCCUGUCCGUCAUGUGGUUGCUCGACAAAGGCGACCACUGAUCUCUCCAGGCACUAUGCAUGGCAACAGGCAGAUGCUCUGUUGGGUGAAUUACCGGAGCACUGGUGGGGCGGUGGCUGCAGGAGAAGCCCAACCAAAGAGGAAGAAAAGCAGCCCCACCGGUAGGUACCGCUAGAGAAGGAAAAAACCCGCCGGGCACGAGGAGGGCAUGAGAGAAGCUCCACCUGGAAGUGAGUUGCAGGGGAUAGAGGCAGCCCCGUACAGUUGAAGGGGAUAGAGGCAGCCCCGUGAAGGUGGGGACAGAGGCGGCG